rnacentral:rRNA from 1 species
AUGGAGGGUUGCUACGAAGGAUGCAUGCAUCGCCUCGAAGAUGUGCCUCCACCAACGGACAGGGAGGCCUACUCGUGGGGGAACAGAGACCACUGGUCAUGGAGCAGCAUCCCAUCGACACUCCCUUUCAAUGUGUACCAAAUGUUGUCGAUCGCAGUGCAUCCGGAGGGAGGAGGGCGCACACUGUUUGUAUCGGUGGAGGGGGGUGGAGCCUCGGACCCCUGGACCGAGGGCAAAGGCGAUGGUUACUUGGACGUCUUCGGUGAGGACACCCCCUCCCGCACCUACUCCUACGACAUCGAGAGCGGCAAGUGGACGGGCUAUUGCGAGUGGGGUCUACCCUUUUUCGGCCAAGUCCACUACGACAAGGAGCUCGACGCAUGGGUUGGGCUCCACAAGGCGCAUGGAUACUUAGAUGGUUACAUCUCCUCAUGCGACAUCAUUUCUCCCACCGAGAGCCCCGCGCAGCCGGCCUGGAAGUUCUGCACGGAGAGGUUGUUUGAUCCUCAUACGGAGGCCAUGAGGCUAUAUAGGGAUACGCACGUCCCAGCUAGUCUUGCGUACAUGGGUGACAGUACCUAUUGUCUCGUCGAGGUUGUGCCUCAAGAAAGAUUUAAGCGGAGGCGCUCCCCCAGCACCGGUAGCAAGUGCAUGAUCCGUUUGUCGAUGUUUCAGCUCAAGUACGGCAAAAACGGCGAGCUCAGAACCACCGCGCACAGGCCUAACCGCUCUUACCUCUUUCCCAAAUAUAAUGAGGGUUUUCAGGUGCAGGCAUUCUGGAUGUGA